AUCCUACAGGGCACGAAAAGGGCUCUGGUUGCCCUCAUCCCAGGGAGACGGGCAGUCAGAGGACAGUGGCUGCCUUCACAAGCCUGGUCUGGAACCCCUCAAGCCAACGUGGAAACUCCACAAGAGUAGAAAGAGUUGGAUUUUAAGUAGCGGUGACACAGGGUCUCGCUCUGUCCCCAGGCUGGAGUGCAGUGGUAC